rnacentral:rRNA from 1 species
AUUGAACGCUGGCGGCAGGCCUAACACAUGCAAGUCGAGCGAGCGGCGGACGUGUGAGUAAUGUAUGGGGACUGCCCGAUAGAGGGGUAUAACUACUGGAAACCGUGGCUAAUACCGCAUACUAUCGGAUAACCCAUAUGGGAUUAGCUAGUAGGUGGGGUAAAGGCACACCUAGGUGACGAUAUCUAGCUGGUCUGCGAGGAUGAUCAGCCACACUGGGAAUGAGACACGACCCAGACGCCUACGGAGGCAGCAGUGGGGAAUAUUGCAGGAUGGACGCAAGCCUGAUGCAGCCAUGCCGCGUGUAUGAAGAAGGCCUUAGGGUUGUAAAGUACAUUCAGCGGGGAAGCGUUACCCGCAGAAGAAGAACCGGCUAACUCCGUGCCAGCAGCCGCGGUAAUUC